rnacentral:lncRNA from 1 species
CAAUCUUUUAAUAUAGUAUGAAAGAAAUUCCUGUUGACUUCAACUAGAAUAAUACGGUGUAACAAUGGAUUCUACGUAAGUAGUUGGUUGAAGAAAUUUGGCGAUGAUAGCCUUUUAUUUUCUGUAAACCGGAGUCCUCUAAAUGUGAUAAAGUCAUGAAAUUAAUAGAAGUGUACGGAGAAACAUCAGGUCAGUAUAUCCUACUAUAUAAAAGUAACUAAAUUCAAGGCUUUUGAAACUAUCCACCUCAGCCAAAAUAUUCUCAUCAAAAAAGAAAUAGAAAUAAAAGAUAAUCUCUACUAAUAAAAGGGAGCUUUUGAGGCUCCAUAGGGCGUCCACAUCAGCAGAAAAAAUUUCUCCCAAAAUCUGACACGUGGCAUAAAAUAUAGUUUUACAUUUUCAUAUUACUUAUUUUCAAAAAUUAUAAAAAAUAUGUAAACAUACAGCAUAAAAAAUGGAAAAACUACAUUAAACAUAUCUAAAAUUACUAUUUUUCACUUAAAAAAGACGGCUUAUCUCCAUAAUGUAACAUUCCCGUUUUAUAAAAAAACAAAAAAAAUUAUAUAUAAUUUCGAAAAUAAUAAAUAUAUGUAAAACAUACAACAUAAAAAUAGAAAUACUACAUUAAACAUAUGUAAGAUUACCAUUUUACAUUUAAAAAUAACAAUAAUAUGUAAACAUACAACAUAAAAAAAUGAAAAAUUUACAUUAAACAUAUGUAAGAUUACCAUUGUUCACUAAAAAACGGUUUAUCUUCAUAAUGUAACAUUACCACUUUAUAAAAAAAAGAAAAAAAAACAUAAAUAUAACUAUUUGACUAUUUGUCCAAGUUCGUCUAUUAAACAUUUCCGUUUUACAUUAAAAAUGAAAAAUACGUAAAGAUUUAAACAUCUAUCUUAAAAUAUAAAAUAUAGACAUUAACUAAAUAUAAAGUAUAAGAAAGAGAAAUAUUCAAUAAAAAAAAUAAUAAAUAAUAAGUAAAUAUUAUAAAUAUAUAAAUAUACGAAUUAUAUAUACAAUAAUAAGU